rnacentral:rRNA from 1 species
UACGUAGGGUGCGAGCGUUGUCCGGAAUUAUUGGGCGUAAAGGGCUCGUAGGCGGUUUGUCGCGUCGGGAGUGAAAACCCAGGGCUUAACCCUGGGCUGGCUUCCGAUACGGGCAGACUAGAGGUAUGCAGGGGAGAACGGAAUUCCUGGUGUAGCGGUGAAAUGCGCAGAUAUCAGGAGGAACACCGGUGGCGAAGGCGGUCUGCUGGGCAGUUUCUGACACUGAUGCGCGACAGCGUGGGGAGCAAACAGG